CAGUCGAACGAGUUCUCGUUGAAUCUCGGUGCUUGCACCGAGAUUCAACAUGGAACGAGUGGCGGACGGGUGAGUAACACGUGGGUAACCUGCCCUUAAGUGGGGGAUAACAUUUGGAAACAGAUGCUAAUACCGCAUAGAUCCAAGAACCGCAUGGUUCUUGGCUGAAAGAUGGCGUAAGCUAUCGCUUUUGGAUGGACCCGCGGCGUAUUAGCUAGUUGGUGAGGUAAUGGCUCACCAAGGCGAUGAUACGUAGCCGAACUGAGAGGUUGAUCGGCCAUAUUGGGACUGAGACACGGCCCAAACUCCUACGGGAGGCAGCAGUAGGGAAUCUUCCACAAUGGACGCAAGUCUGAUGGAGCAACGCCGCGUGAGUGAAGAAGGCUUUCGGGUCGUAAAACUCUGUUGUUGGAGAAGAAUGGUCGGCAGAGUAACUGUUGUCGGCGUGACGGUAUCCAACCAGAAAGCCACGGCUAACUACGUGCCAGCAGCCGCGGUAAUACGUAGGUGGCAAGCGUUAUCCGGAUUUAUUGGGCGUAAAGCGAGCGCAGGCGGUUUUUUAAGUCUGAUGUGAAAGCCCUCGGCUUAACCGAGGAAGCGCAUCGGAAACUGGGAAACUUGAGUGCAGAAGAGGACAGUGGAACUCCAUGUGUAGCGGUGAAAUGCGUAGAUAUAUGGAAGAACACCAGUGGCGAAGGCGGCUGUCUGGUCUGUAACUGACGCUGAGGCUCGAAAGCAUGGGUAGCGAACAGGAUUAGAUACCCUGGUAGUCCAUGCCGUAUACGAUGAAUGCUA
rnacentral:rRNA from 1 species